rnacentral:rRNA from 1 species
CCCAGACUCCUACGGGAGGCAGCAGUGGGGGAUAUUGGACAAUGGGGGAAACCCUGAUCCAGCGACGCCGCGUGAGUGAAGAAGUAUUUCGGUAUGUAAAGCUCUGUCAGCAGGGAAGAAAGAAAUGACGGUACCUGAGUAAGAAGCCCCGGCUAACUACGUGCCAGCAGCCGCGGUAAUACGUAGGGGGCAAGCGUUAUCCGGAUUUACUGGGUGUAAAGGGAGCGUAGACGGCAGUGCAAGUCUGGAGUGAAAGGCGGGGGCUCAACCCCCGGACUGCUCUGGAAACUGUACGGCUGGAGUGCAGGAGAGGUAAGUGGAAUUCCUGGUGUAGCGGUGAAAUGCGUAGAUAUCAGGAGGAACACCGGCGGCGAAGGCGGCCUGCUGGACCGCGACUGACGUUGAGGCUCGAAAGCGUGGGGAGCAAACAGGAUUAGAUACCCCCGUA